rnacentral:rRNA from 1 species
UACGUAGGGGGCAAGCGUUGUCCGGAAUCAUUGGGCGUAAAGCGCGUGUAGGCGGUCCGAUCAGUCGGCUGUGAAAGUCCAGGGCUCAACCCUGGGAUGCCGGUCGAUACUGUCGGACUAGAGUCCGGAAGAGGCGAGUGGAAUUCCCGGUGUAGCGGUGAAAUGCGCAGAUAUCGGGAGGAACACCAAUGGCGAAGGCAGCUCUCUGGGACGGUACUGACGCUGAGACGCGAAAGCGUGGGGAGCGAACAGG